rnacentral:rRNA from 1 species
CCACAUUGGGACUGAGAUACGGCCCAGACUCCUACGGGAGGCAGCAGUGGGGAAUAUUGCACAAUGGGCGCAAGCCUGAUGCAGCAACGCCGCGUGAAGGAAGACGGUUUUCGGAUUGUAAACUUCUGUUCUUAGUGAAGAAUAAUGACGGUAGCUAAGGAGCAAGCCACGGCUAACUACGUGCCAGCAGCCGCGGUAAUACGUAGGUGGCAAGCGUUGUCCGGAAUUACUGGGUGUAAAGGGAGCGCAGGCGGGUGAUCAAGUCAGCUGUGAAAACUACGGGCUUAACCCGUAGACUGCAGUUGAAACUGUUCAUCUUGAGUGAAGUAGAGGUUGGCGGAAUUCCGAGUGUAGCGGUGAAAUGCGUAGAUAUUCGGAGGAACACCGGUGGCGAAGGCGGCCAACUGGGCUUUAACUGACGCUGAGGCUCGAAAGUGUGGGGAGCAAACAGGAUUAGAUACCCUGGUAGUCCACACUGUAAACGAUGAUUGCUAGGUGUGGGGGGUCUGACCCCUUCCGUGCCGGAGCUAACGCAAUAAGCAAUCCACCUGGGGAGUACGACCGCAAGGUUGAAACUCAAAGGAAUUGACGGGGACCCGCACAAGCAGUGGAUUAUGUGGUUUAAUUCGAAGCAACGCGAAGAACCUUACCAGGUCUUGACAUCCAACUAACGAAGUAGAGAUACAUUAGGUGCCCUUCGGGGAAAGUUGAGACAGGUGGUGCAUGGUUGUCGUCAGCUCGUGUCGUGAGAUGUUGGGUUAAGUCCCGCAACGAGCGCAACCCUCGCCCUGUGUUGCCAGCACGUCGUGGUGGGAACUCACGGGGGACCGCCGGGGUCAACUCGGAGGAAGGUGGGGAUGACGUCAGAUCAUCAUGCCCCUUACGUCCAGGGCUUCACGCAUGCUACAAUGGCCGGUACAACGGGAUGCGACACCGCGAGGUGGAGCGGAUCCCUUAAAACCGGUCUCAGUUCGGAUUGGAGUCUGCAACCCGACUCCAUGAAGGCGGAGUCGCUAGUAAUCGCGGAUCAGCAACGCCGCGGUGAAUGCGUUCCCGGGCCUUGUACACACCGCCCGUCAAGUCAUGAAAGUGGGUAGCACCCGAAGCCGGUGGCCCAACCUUUUGGGGGGAGCCGUCUAAGGUGAGACUCGUGAUUGGGACUAAGUCGUAACAAGGUAGCCGUACCGGAAGGUGCGGCUG